CUAGUAAUCGCGAAUCAGCAUGUCGCGGUGAAUACGUUCCCGGGUCUUGUACACACCGCCCGUCACACCAUGGGAGUCAGUAACGCCCGAAGCCGGUGACCCAACCUUUUAGGAGGGAGCCGUCGAAGGCGGGACCGAUAACUGGGGUGAAGUCGUAACAAGGUAGCCGUAUCGGAAGGUGCGGCUGGAUCACCUCCUUUCUAAGGAA
rnacentral:rRNA from 1 species